CUCGAGACGCCACAAGAAAUUCUCAAUGGGGCUUACUUAAAUCCGGUGCUGUGCCGAAAGCCAUUGUUCCUUACGUAGAGCUUUCAAAAUGACAAGAGGAGAAGAUGAUUUUUCAGCUUACAAGAACUUCCCCGGAUUACUGUAAAUUAAUUUCAUCACACGGAGAAGGGCAUUAAACGUUUCAAGUUACAUCGACAACUUUAGGAUUGUUUUAAAGGACUCCCAUCCAUACUGUUGCAGCACUGUACCAGACAGCACACUAUUCAGAACUGAGAAAGAGUGC